UGAAGAUCAAGAUGGCGGACCAGAUGUCCAGAGACGUGUCCUGGUCUCUACCCGCUCCUGAGCGUUAGCCGGACAACUUCUGGAACAAGUCUCACACGUCCUGGAGGUUUCCUCGUCGGACGCGGUGUGCGAUCGCUCACUUCCUCUGGUUGUCGGUGAGCGUGAUGCCCUGUGACGACACUUUGAAGUGGACCACGGUGGAGGCCGGCGGCGGGUCCAUGGCGAGCGUCUCCGUGGUCGCCUUCUGCACCGCCUGGUGUCCCGUCAGCGACUCCAGCUCCACGGAGCCGAGCUCGGAGCGAAAAACAAAGCCUCUUCAGUUUGGGCCGAAUCGUGCAAAACCAAUUCCAGAUGGCACAGAGCCACGUGGGCACGACUGCCAGCCUCCACCAGCCAAUGACCCCCAACACACACACACACACACACACACACACACACUUCCCUGAUCACAGAGACUGACGGUUCCGUGGCUCAGACUGAGAACAUACCUUCACGCUCGGUGCGGAGAUAAAUUCCACGAAUCAAUAAAUCCACAGUGAGGUGAUCUGGUUGUCUGGAGCCGAUAUCUCCCCCCGACCUCGGCCCACGCUGACGUGAGCGGGUUGUGGACGGCGUGAGGACAA